AUGGAUGGUAUGGUUGCCAAGAUACGAACUGAUAGUGCAAUUGAUCCAGAGUGGAAGUUUGACCAAGGGCGUGCACGUAGAGCACUGGCAAAGUUGAUUGUGCAACAUGAAUUACCUUUCACUUUUGUUGAAUAUCCUGGCUUUAGGUCCUUUGUUAAGACAUUGAAUCCAUGGUUCAACGUGGUAUGCAGAGAAACAAUUAACCAAGAUUGCGUUGAUGCAUAUGAUAGACACAAAAAAGAAAUUCAAGCACUUUUUAGCAAUCUAAGUUCUCGAGUAUCAUUAACGGGUGACAUGUGGACGUCCAAUCAGAAGCUGGGUUAUUUAUGCAUAACUACCCACUUUAUUGAUGGCUCAUGGACUCUACAAAACAGAAUAAUCACAUUUUGCCUCUUAAAAACUCCACACAACGCUCAUAACAUGUUUGACAUGGUGCAAAAGAGCUUGAGAGAUUGGAAAAUUGAAGGCAACAUCUUUAGCUUUACCCUGGACAAUGCACCAGUUAAUACCUCGAUGGUUGGCCACUUGAGAAAAAAUUUGGUAGAUAGGUAUCUUGUGCAUCAUAGUGGAAAAUUAUUGCAUGUUAGAUGUGCUGCACAUGUACUGAAUCUAGUGGUGCAAGAUGGGCUCGACGCAAUGGCGUCAGUUAUUGAUAGAAUCAGAGAAUCAAUGCAGUAUGUCAAGAGUUCUCAAGGCAGAAUGGAGAAAUUCAAUGCGAUGAUUGCGCGGGUGGGACUUGCUUGUAAAAACCAUCCUUCCCUGGAUGUGCCUACCCGAUGGAAUUCAACGUACCUAAUGCUUGAAUCAUCAUUGCCGUUCAGAGCAGCGUUCGAAGCCUUGAAAGAAACUGACAAAGAUUAUAAAUCUGCUCCUUCAGCUAGUGAAUGGGAGAUGGCCAAAGCUAUUUGCCAUCUUUUGGGUGCCUUUUACACAGCCACAAAGAAAAUCUCGGGUAGGACAUAUCCCACCUCUCACAUGUACUUCUAUGAGGUCUGGAAUGUGAAGCAGAUAAAGGAGAAAGAAGUCAUAAGUGAAAAUCCUACCAUUGUUGCCAUGGUGAAAGAGAUGGAGGAGAAAUGGAUGAAAUAUUUUGAGGAGUCGUUCUUAACAAGUUGUCUGCCGGUGAUAUUUGAUCCGGGGUACAAAUAUGAAUAUGUUCACUUCUGA
rnacentral:rRNA from 1 species